rnacentral:rRNA from 1 species
AACGAACGCUGGCGGCAGGCUUAACACAUGCAAGUCGAGCGAGGACUUCGGUCCUAGCGGCGGACGGGUGAGUAACGCGUGGGAAUGUGCCCUUUGGUUCGGAAUAGCCCUGGGAAACUGGGAGUAAUGCCGGAUAAGCUCUUCGGAGGAAAGAUUUAUCGCCAAAGGAUCGGCCCGCGUUGGAUUAGGUAGUUGGUGGGGUAACGGCCUACCAAGCCGACGAUCCAUAGCUGGUUUGAGAGGAUGAUCAGCCACACUGGGACUGAGACACGGCCCAGACUCCUACGGGAGGCAGCAGUGGGGAAUCUUGGACAAUGGGGGCAACCCUGAUCCAGCCAUGCCGCGUGAGCGAUGAAGGCCUUAGGGUUGUAAAGCUCUUUCAGCUGGGAAGAUAAUGACGGUACCAGCAGAAGAAGCCCCGGCUAACUCCGUGCCAGCCGCCGCCGUAAGAC